AGGCAGACAAGCUCAGUGCUCAGGAACAUAAUGGCUGGAGCCUGCAGGCCCAUAUGCUCGCCAUCCUGUGAGGUGGAAGGCCAGCUCCGAUCAUCUCCAGCUGCUCAGGAUACAAUUGAUCAGGAUCUCCUACACACUGCAACCUUUUACAGCCCACUAUCGCUCAAUCCAGAAGCACAGACUGCUAAUAGCAUGAGAUGAAUAAGUGAGUACAUAUCUAUUUUUUAUUACUCAAGCCAUUUCAAGAAUUCUCAGAUAAUUAACUCUGAAUACUUUUUCAUCUGUUUUCCCUCAAAAAUCUUCCCAUUUGACUUAAAACCCUUAUUUGCGGUCCAAGCAGCAGCACACUUAAUCACACUGAACAAGGCACAGCAGCUUUUGAAGAUGCCUUAAAGCAUCUGAAGAAUCUGAAACCAAGGCAUAGGAAAUAGGAUUGCUCUCAUGAAGCCUUUCCUUGCCUCAAAAAGAUAUGUGCCCCCCUCCUAGGCCUUAGUAGAGACAGCAGAGAUCCCAACCCCAGUAGCAGGGGAUGCAGCACCCUUCAGUUUGGGUGUUUCUGCAACACUAUGUCAGCAUAGACAAACACUGACUCAAGGCAACACACUACUGAAUCAAAAUAUUUUUAUUUGAUAAGACAAACUCAACAGCUGUCUAGACUUCAGCUGACCAGACUCACAAUGGAUGUUUCCUUUUCAACUUCCCCUGUUUACCCUCAUCCCUGCAUCCCUGCCAUCAUUCUGUUUGGCGAUGGUGGCCAAAUAUGUUCCCUUCUCCUUGCCUCCAAAUCUCUCCAUUGAACCUUCAGAGGCCCAGUUCUUCUGGAUCAUCUCCCACUGCUUGCUUACAGGGAGCCAAUGCAACAGGACUCUGGACUUCUUUGGGAAAUCCCGCAUGUGGCUUUAAUGAUAAACAAUUAUUUUAGUGGUUUGCUUUCAAGGUGUUGUACAAGUACUUCCCACAACCCACUAAGGAAGUAAAAAGCCUCGUUUCAAUUGGUAAAGGACUUAAAGAAUUCAGUGGGCCUUGCCAAAAUGCCCUUGUCUACCUAUUCUAAUAAAAUAAUCCUGCCCCUGAUCACAGCUACACCCAGCCUGCAAGUUCUCUUGCACAAAGCACACUUGAGAGGUCACAGUGGGAGGUCUAUUCUCACAUCAAAUUAAAGCCAGACAGAAUCAAUUAAAGCAAAAAAGGAUGGGGUCUGCUGAGAUGACAGAAGGCAUUUGGGGCAAAUGCUCACAGCUGAAUGCAGAAGAGAUGCCAUUGCUCAAGCUUUCUUGCUCCUCCAUAGAAGCUGGGGCCCAACAAUAUGUCUCCAGAAGACUGGCAACUGCUGGUUGUAAUAUUUUGCGGUGCCUCAUGAUGCUUAAUAGAAAGAAGAGUAAAGUUUCAGAAGAAUAGAAUAGGAUAUGAAUGGGACAUCAAAAAUCAUCAGAGGAGGGACUUUUAGACACUCCCUUCUGUUAUUCAGAGAUGACUAAUUCCAGUGAGGGCCCUGAAGUAAGAACAGCAAAUUCACAAAAAAUCCCCACCAAACUCACAGAUGGAUUUCAUUCCUCUGUAAGACUCAUUCUCCACAAGAUCUGUGUAUUUACACUUGCUCCUAUAGCCCACCAGAAAUGCUCUCUGAUGACCCAAGGCCAUUCCCCUAGGCUUGCCUGAAGCCAGCCCUGCCUGCAGGGCCUAUGGCAGAGCAUUUCAGCCAACACCCUCAACAACAGUUGCUGGCUUUGUAACUCUAAUUCCCUCCAGGCCAUACCCUUCUCUUCCUCAUCUGGCAUGUUCAGCCUACACGUUCAACUUGUCACCUGCAAGGGAGAUCAGGGGUCAGCUGGGUGCUUGAACAUCUCUCAGCUUGGGGCACUUUGAAUCAAUUCCAACUCUCCCCACUCCCAAGAAAGGUGUUAAUUGGAACAGGAAAAGAACGAGAGAAAUAAAUUUUCUUUAGAGAGAUGCUGACACAGUCCCCAGUUAGUGAAGGAGGAUUUUUCGGUGCUGUUUCCUCCCCUCUUCACUGUAAAUUCUCCAGUGUUCCAAUAACAGCUCCCUAAUCCCCAGACAUCCAGGGGGGUCAAAUGCCUCUGCAUCCUGAGAUCCCUAGCUUCCACUGAGAGCAAGUGAGCAGCAUUAGCUCUUUUGAGUUUGCCUGGCUGGGCUGAUUUGUGGUGUGAACACACACUAAUUAGCCAUUUAACUUAAGAACUAAGACUCCCAGGAGAAAAAGAUUUCAGAGGGGAAUUCGGAGCUCUUCAGGCUGAAAUUAUCAUCAAGUGCCUAAUGUAACUGUUCUGCUUCUCCUUUCCAAGACUUCUUUUCCUCCAUCUGACUAUCUACUAAAACAGGCAGUAUGAAUGCUUCCACGUCUUUACCAAACCACGGGUGGCGUAUCCUCUCUUGAAGUCACUUGGGUAAAUUCACAACACAUUUUUGUCUUCUGGAUUUGAGUAGGGAAAAGGAAGGUGGCUGUUCAAGAGAUAAGCAACAAGAGAUACUUCAUACCUCCUACACAGUGGUUUGCAACUCACAGAAUACAGUUGAAAACUCUAAGCCUACCAGCCUGUAAAGCAAUUCUUAAAGAUGAAAGAUGCUCUGAAAGCUAGACUUGAACUGGAUUGACUUUUAAAUAUGAUCAAAUCUUAGUUUAAAUCUCAAUCCAAGCAUCAAAUCUGAGUCUGAAUUUUAAAACAAGUCUUACGUUAGCUGGACAUUCACAAUUAUUCGAAAGUCUCUUUAAACAACCCCUAUGAAUUGCUAUUGUUGGCCACUUUGCUUAUGUAUAUCCAGAGACUGAAAAGCCUGUAUUUAUGGUAUUACCAAUUCCAGCACUGCCAGGCCAACCAACCUGAACUUAGCACAAUACUUUCCCCAGAUUGUUCCCUUCCUGACAGAAAAGACAAGAGACUGACUUUGUGCAUGGUUUGGAAAGCUUCCAAAUAGUUUAGCAGGGCCCUGUUAAGUGAUUUAAUCCUCUGAAAAGAUGGAAGCUGUGCAAUUUUUGGCUUUACAUAAGAUAAUAGCCCAACUUACUAACUGUAAAAUAAAACUUACUGGGUAGGCUAGUCUACUGGAGGAAGCCUUGGCCUGGGAUUUGGGAGACUUGCAGCAGGAUUCAGAUCACCUGAUCAAGUACCUAAACCAUGACUUUGUUCAAACACCCAGAAUAUCCACUCUCCAGUGUUUCCUAUUUCAGAAGGUCCCAGAUCUCAUCAACGCCUAUUUCAGGAUGCAAUAUCCUCCCCUGCAGCUGUGUAGAAGCCCUUCUAGGUAGGUAAAUUACAGACAUAAUCCCUUUUUCUGUAGCAGUCCAGAUCCUGACAGCCAUCCAAAGUUCCUGACCAGCGAAAGUGCUCUUACAAGGUUCCCAGCUCAGCAGAGGACAACACCAUGAUGCUUAUGGAUGCAUCUGACUCUCAGUUAAUUCUACAAAUUACCUAGGCACCCACAUGCCAUUGUCUUUGGGCAAGCAUCCACAUCAGGUGCCACAAUGCCUAAGGCAGGCAUGUAAACUAGGUAUUACAGUAUGAGAUUGGAUUUCCAAUCCUGAAUUUGAAACUGUCCUGCUAGACGAUUUUUAAGACACUUCACCUCUGAGUGCCUCUCUUUAAAAUGUUAAGACAGGUAACAAUCACAGUGCAUUGGAAGUAAGACAGCAAUUAGUUCUAGGUGCUUGUGAAUAAAACAUGCUUUACUCAAGACAUGAAAAGACUCAAUAAAUGGGUCGCUAAAUGAAUCUGAAGACCUUUGUGAUACUGGAUAAUUUGGCUAAGAUAGGAUAGUAUUAGAAAGUAAAACCAAGCAGAUGUCUUGGUCACUAUUGUGACUCCACAGAACUAAAUUCUUGUUACCAGUAAACAAUAGCCCUUCCACUUCUAACAAGAGAACCUGUCUUUAGUCUGCCACAAAACAAACAAACAAACAAAAAAACCUGUUAAAAUCUUUUUGAUGUUGCUACAAGGAAAGUGUGAAAAACCUGCCAUUAUGACAGCUCUCCCCAUCUCCGGAGCCAAGCUCUACAGACAGCCAAUAUCAUGUGCGUCCACAUGUGACGGAUCUUACUUGGGCAUGAAAUUUUCAUUAGUUCUUGAGCAGUGCACAGAGGCAGGGUUUAACCAAUCUAAUGAGCUAACACAUACCACUGCCUGACUGGUUAUAGCAGCAAAAAAAGCCAAGAAGGGAAUUUGAUUGAUCCUGUAUACCACUCUUGAUAUAUUUUUCCACCUUACGCUACAACAGCAUUACCAGUUCUUCUACAACAGAGAAGAGAAUGCUACAGGCCAGUAACUUGAGAAGAUCUUUGUUUCCCUCUAUAAUUUCUGUAGACACAAUAAAAAUGAUUUUAUCA
rnacentral:lncRNA from 1 species